rfam:Myotis davidii contig205692, whole genome shotgun sequence.
UAUACACAGAAAAAUACAGUAUACUAAAAUUGGAACAAUAGAUUAUCAUGGCCCCUGUGCAAGGAUGACAUGCAAAUCCGUGAAGCAUUUCAUAUUUUU